rnacentral:rRNA from 1 species
GACGAAGGAUGCAAGCGUUAUCCGGAUUCAUUGGGUUUAAAGGGAGCGUAGGUGGUCUUAUAAGUCAGUGGUGAAAUCUUCUCGCUUAACGGGAAACUGCCAUUGAUACUGUAGGACUUGAGUAUAGUUGCUGUGGGCGGAAUAUGACAUGUAGUGGUGAAAUACUUAGAGAUGUCAUAGAACACCGAUUGCGAAGGCAGCUCACAAACUAUAACUGACACUGAGGCUCGAAAGUGCGGGGAUCAAACAGG